rnacentral:sRNA from 1 species
GCCGGGCACCGUGGCACACGCCUGUAAUCUCAGCAACUCAGGAGGCUGAGGCAGGAGGCUCGCGAGUUCAAAGCCAGCCUCAACAACGGCGAGGCACUAAGUAACUCAGCGAGACCUUGUCUCUA